rnacentral:misc_RNA from 1 species
GUGAAUCAUCGAAUUUUUGAACGCAAAUUGCACUCUCUUCGGUGAGUAUGCCUGUUUGAGGGUCAGCCUAAAAUAAAAUCUACAUAGUCGCUGUUUCGUGGUGACCUUCGUCGGAAAUUCGGUUAUCUUCAACCUUUGUGCUUUAAGCGGCCUAAAAUUUUCUUUACGAUUCCACGAAAGUUUCUAAGAUUUACUUCUUACACGUUUACGGUAAUUGAUCUUUAUUAGACGUGGCCGUUUCAUCGGAUG